UUAGCUAGUUGGUAGGGUAACGGGCCGUACCAAGGCGAUGAUGCAUAGCCCGAGUUGAGAGACUGAUCGGCCACAUUGGGGACUGAGACACGGGCCCAAACUCCUACGGGAGGCAGCAGUAGGGAAUCUUCCACAAUGGACGCAAGUCUGAUGGAGCAAACGCCGCGUGAGUGAAGAAGGGUUUCGGCUCGUAAAAAGCUCUGUUGUUGGUGAAGAAGGACAGGGGUAGUAACUGGCCCUUUGUUUGACGGUAAUCAAUUAGAAAGUCACGGGCUAACUACGUGCCAGCAGCCGCGGUAAAU
rnacentral:rRNA from 1 species